rnacentral:rRNA from 1 species
GAUGAACGCUGGCGGCAGGCUUAACACAUGCAAGUCGAGGGGUAGAGUUAGCUUGCUAACUUGAGACCGGCGCACGGGUGCGUAACGCGUAUGCAAUCUACCUUUUACAGAGGGAUAGCCCAGAGAAAUUUGGAUUAAUACCUCAUAGUAUCUUUGCCUGGCAUCAGGUGAUUAUUAAAGUUCCAACGGUAAAAGAUGAGCAUGCGUCCUAUUAGCUAGAUGGUAAGGUAACGGCUUACCAUGGCAACGAUAGGUAGGGGUCCUGAGAGGGAGAUCCCCCACACUGGUACUGAGACACGGACCAGACUCCUACGGGAGGCAGCAGUGAGGAAUAUUGGACAAUGGGCGCAAGCCUGAUCCAGCCAUGCCGCGUGCAGGAAGAAGCAUCUAUGGUGUGUAAACUGCUUUUGUACGGGAAGAAACACUCCCUCGUGAGGGAGCUUGACGGUACCGUAAGAAUAAGGAUCGGCUAACUCCGUGCCAGCCGCCGCAGUAA